UGAUAGCGUUGAGUUUAUUAA
rnacentral:piRNA from 1 species